rnacentral:rRNA from 1 species
GAUGAACGCUGGCGGCGUGCUUAACACAUGCAAGUCGAACGGAAAGGCCCAAGCUUGCUUGGGUACUCGAGUGGCGAACGGGUGAGUAACACGUGGGUGAUCUGCCCUGCACUUCGGGAUAAGCCUGGGAAACUGGGUCUAAUACCGGAUAGGACCACAUUUUGGAUGGUGUGGUGGAAAGUUUUUCGGUGUGGGAUGAGCUCGCGGCCUAUCAGCUUGUUGGUGGGGUAAUGGCCUACCAAGGCGUCGACGGGUAGCCGGCCUGAGAGGGUGUACGGCCACAUUGGGACUGAGAUAAGGCCCAGACGCCUACGGGAGGCAGCAGUGGGGAAUAUUGCACAAUGGGCGCAAGCCUGAUGCAGCGACGCCGCGUGGGGGAUGACGGCCUUCGGGUUGUAAACUCCUUUCGCUAGGGACGAAGCGUUAUGUGACGGUACCUGGAGAAGAAGCACCGGCUAACUACGUG